UGCAUACGACAUACAAGGAGGGAGCGCAGAAUGCGGUGGCGGAGCGCGGCCUCGCGCCUUCGGUAGCAGUGAAACGGAGAUUGAAAGUUGUAGUAAGAUUCUGAUUUUGGAUAUAUGAGAUAUGGUUGCAAUAGAAAAGAUAAUGAAUGCAACAUUGGUCCUUCCUUCUCUUGAUCACAAUUCCUUUUGGACAGAUCUGAGUGAUUUUAAGGACCCCUUUUGAUUGGAAGCGCUUCAUAGAAGUCUUGAAAGAUGAUGUCGACAUAGUGGAGUUCCUCUCACAUUUAAGUGUAAAAAUGCUACAUAUUGCAGAUGGCUAUGAUAUUCUAGUUUGAGGAUAUUUGGAUUAUAGUCCAUCUACAGUUGGAAACCCAUCAAAUGGAUAAUUUGGAUAGGAACUGAGACCUGAUUAAACUAG